UGUUUUCCAUAACCCCCUGUGCCUCUGUGCUUGGAAUUGCAGAAUGAGUGUGAGUGCAAGACUGGAUUUCGAGGCAAUGGCAUUGAAUGUGAACCAAUAACUUCCUGCUUGGAACAAACUGGGAAAUGUCAUCCCCUGGCAGCCUGUCAGUUCACCUCUGGCGUCUGGAGCUGUGUUUGUGGAGAAGGCUAUGAAGGUGACGGCUUUCUGUGCUAUGGAAGCGCGGCCGUGGAAUUGUCGUUUCUCUCCGCGGCAGCUAAAUUUAACCAGU